CGAAAAGCCGUCUCAGUUCGGAUUGGAGUCUGCAACCCGACUCCAUGAAGCUGGAUUCGCUAGUAAUCGCGCAUCAGCCACGGCGCGGUGAAUACGUUCCCGGGCCUUGUACACACCGCCCGUCAAGCCAUGGGAGCCGGGAGUGCCUGAAGUACGUGACCGCAAGGAGCGUCCUAGGGUAAGACCGGUGACUGGGGCUAAGUCGUAACAAGGUAUC
rnacentral:rRNA from 1 species